rnacentral:misc_RNA from 1 species
UAUUGAAUUUGGGUUUCCAUAUUCUUACACCCUGUGCACCUUUUGUAGGCCAUUCAUUUGGUCUAUGUUUUAUUUCUAACAACUUUGUAAAUGUGAAUGGUAAUGAAUAAAAUUAUUACAACUUUCAACAACGGAUCUCUUGGCUCUCGCAUCGAUGAAGAACGCAGCGAAAUGCGAUAAGUAAUGUGAAUUGCAGAAUUCAGUGAAUCAUCAAAUCUUUGAACGCACCUUGCGCUCCUUGGUAUUCCGAGGAGCAUGCCUGUUUGAGUGUCAUUAAAUUCUCAAGGAGUUUGUUUUCUUUGGAUUUUGGAGUGUUUGCUGGCUUGAAUCUUGUUCAGCUCCUCUCAAAUGCAUUAGCUUGUGCUUCUGUGGAAUCAGGCUUUGGUUUGAUAGUAUCUAUGUCAUUGCCUUUGAAACAAAUGAGCUAGCUUCUAAUCAUUUUAUUUUUGACAUUUUG